GACGAACCGUGCGAACGUUGUUCGGAAUCACUGGGCUUAAAGGGCGCGUAGGCGGCCCGCCGCGUCCGGGGUGAAAUCCUCCCGCUCAACGGGAGAACGGCCUCGGGAUACGGGCGGGCUGGAGGGGGUAGGGGCAGGCGGGAACUGUGGGUGGAGCGGUGAAAUGCGUUGAGAUCCACAGGAACGUCCGGUGGCGGAAGGCGGCCUGCCUGGACCCCAUCUGACGCUGAGGCGACGGAAAGCCAGGGGAGCGAACGGG
rnacentral:rRNA from 1 species